rnacentral:rRNA from 1 species
GACGAACGCUGGCGGCGUGCUUAACACAUGCCAGUCGAACGGAAAGGCCCUGCUUUUGUGGGGUGCUCGUGUGGCGAACGGGUGAGUAACACGUGAGUAACCUGCCCUUGACUUUGGGAUAACUUCAGGAAACUGGGGCUAAUACCGGAUAGGAGCUCCUGCUGCAUGGUGGGGGUUGGAAAGUUUCGGCGGUUGGGGAUGGACUCGCGGCUUAUCCGCUGGUUGGUGAGGUAGUUGCUUACCAAGGCUUUGACGGGUAGCCGGCCUGAGAGGGUGACCGGCCACAUUGGGACUGAGAUACGGCCCAGACUCCUACGGGAGGCAGCAGUGGGGAAUAUUGCACAAUGGGCGGAAGCCUGAUGCAGCAACGCCGCGUGCGGGAUGACGGCCUUCGGGUUGUAAACCGCUUUCGCCUGUGACGAAGCGUGAGUGACGGUAAUGGGUAAAGAAGCACCGGCUAACUACGUG